CAGCCGCCACGGUAAUACGUAGGGUGCGAGCGUUAAUCGGAAUUACUGGGCGUAAAGCGUGCGCAGGCGGUUUUGUAAGACAGGCGUGAAAUCCCCGGGCUCAACCUGGGAAUGGCGCUUGUGACUGCAAAGCUAGAGUGCGGCAGAGGGGGAUGGAAUUCCGCGUGUAGCAGUGAAAUGCGUAGAUAUGCGGAGGAACACCGAUGGCGAAGGCAAUCCCCUGGGCCUGCACUGACGCUCAUGCACGAAAGCGUGGGGAGCAAACAGGAUUAGAUACCCGCGUAGUCCCUGUCUCUUAUAC
rnacentral:rRNA from 1 species